rnacentral:rRNA from 1 species
GAAAAGAAACCAACAGGGAUUGCCCUAGUAACGGCGAGUGAAGCGGCAACAGCUCAAAUUUGAAAUCUGGCCUCGGCCCGAGUUGUAAUUUGCAGAGGAUGCUUCUGGCGCGGUGCCUUCCGAGUUCCCUGGAACGGGACGCCACAGAGGGUGAGAGCCCCGUAUGGUCGGACACCAAGCCUGUGUGAAGCUCCUUCGACGAGUCGAGUAGUUUGGGAAUGCUGCUCUAAAUGGGAGGUAAAUCUCUUCUAAAGCUAAAUACCGGCCAGAGACCGAUAGCGCACAAGUAGAGUGAUCGAAAGAUGAAAAGCACCUUGAAAAGGGGGUUAAAUAGUACGUGAAAUUGUUGAAAGGGAAGCACUUAUGACCAGACUUGGGCCGGGCGGCUCAUCAGGGGUUCUCCCCUGUGCACUCCGCCCGGCACAGGCCAGCAUCGGUUUUCGCGGGGGGAUAAGACCGACGGGAACGUAGCACCCUCCGGGGUGUGUUAUAGCCCGGCGGACGAUACCCUCGCGGGGACCGAGGACCGCGCUUCGGCAAGGAUGCUGGCGUAAUGGUCAUCAGUGACCCGUCUUGAAACACGGACCAAGGAGUCGUCCAUUAGAGCGAGCGUUUGGGUGUAAAACCCGCACGCGUAAUGAAAGUGAACGCAGGUGAGAGCUUCGGCGCAUCAUCGACCGAUCCUGAUGUUCUCGGAAGGAUUUGAGUAAGAGUUUUAACGGACGGACCCGAAAGACAGUGAACUAUGCUUGUAUAGGGUGAAGCCAGAGGAAACUCUGGUGGAGGCUCGCAGCGGUUCUGACGUGCAAAUCGAUCGUCAAAUAUGAGCAUGGGGGCGAAAGACUAAUCGAACUGUCUAGUAGCUGGUUACCGCCGAAGUUUCCCUCAGGAUAGCAGUGUUGAUCUUCAGUUUUAUGAGGUAAAGCGAAUGAUUAGGGACUCGGGGGCUAUAUAUUGCCUUCAUCCAUUCUCAAACUUUAAAUAUGUAAGAAGCCCUUGUUACUUAGUUGAACGUGGGCAUUCGAAUGUACCAACACUAGUGGGCCAUUUUUGGUAAGCAGAACUGGCGAUGCGGGAUGAACCGAACGCGGGGUUAAGGCGCCAGAGUGUACGCUCAUCAGACACCACAAAAGGCGUUAGUACAUCUUGACAGCAGGACGGUGGCCAUGGAAGUCGGAAUCCGCUAAGGACUGUGUAACAACUCACCUGCCGAAUGUACUAGCCCUGAAAAUGGAUGGCGCUCAAGCGUACCGCCCAUACCCCGCCCCCAGGGUAGAAA